GGCCUACCAUGGUGGUAACGGGUAACGGGGUGUUAGGGCACGACACCGGAGAGGGAGCCUGAGAAACGGCUACCACAUCCAAGGAUGGCAGCAGGCGCGCAAAUUACCCAAUCCCGACACGGGGAGGUAGUGACAAUAAAUAACAAUACGGGGUCCUUUCGGGUCUCGUAAUUGGAAUGAGUACAAUUUAAAUCUCUUAACGAGGAACAAUUGGAGGGCAAGUCUGGUGCCAGCAGCCGCGGUAAUUCCAGCUCCAAUAGCGUAUAUUAAAGUUGUUGCAGUUAAAAAGCUCGUAGUUGAAUUUCGGGAUCAUCAUGUCGGUCGUGCCUCCGGUACGUACUGGCAUCGUUGAUUUCUACCUUCUGACGAACCAUGAUGUCAUUAAUUUGGUGUCAUGGGGAAUCAGGACUGUUACUUUGAAAAAAUUAGAGUGUUUAAAGCAGGCACACGCUUGAAUACAUUAGCAUGGAAUAAUGAAAUAGGACGUUUGACCCUAUUUUGUUGGUUUCUAGGAUCGACGUAAUGAUUAAUAGGGAUAGUUGGGGGCAUUAGUAUUCAAUUGUCAGAGGUGAAAUUCUUGGAUUUAUUGAAGACUAACUACUGCGAAAGCAUUUGCCAAGGAUGUUUUCAUUAAUCAAGAACGAAAGUUAGGGGAUCGAAGACGAUCAGAUACCGUCGUAGUCUUAACCAUAAACUAUGCCGACUAGGGAUCGGAUGAUGUUAAUUUUUUAAUGACUCAUUCGGCGCCUUACG
rnacentral:rRNA from 1 species